rnacentral:rRNA from 1 species
GAGUUUGAUCCUGGCUCAGAACGAACGCUGGCGGCGUGCUUAACACAUGCAAGUCAGGGAGAAAGUCUCUUCGGGGAUGAUUAAACCGGCGCACGGGUGAGUAACACGUGAGUGACCUGCCUUUUAGACUGGAACAACUUACCGAAAGGUGAGCUAAUGCCGGAUGAGUUAUAUAAGUGCAUGUUUAUAUAGGAAAAGUUGGGGAGACCUGACGCUGAAAGAUGGACUCGCGUCCCAUUAGCUAGUUGGUAGGGUAAUGGCCUACCAAGGCGACGAUGGGUAGCCGGCCUGAGAGGGUGGCCGGCCACACUGGGACUGAGACACGGCCCAGACUCCUACGGGAGGCAGCAGUGGGGAAUUUUGCGCAAUGCUCGUAAGAGUGACGCAGCGACGCCGCGUGAAUGACGAAGGCCUUCGGGUCGUAAAGUUCUUUCGACAGGGAAGAAAAUGCCUAUAAGUAACUGUGUAUGUAUCGACGGUACCUGUAUAAGCAGCCCCGGCUAACUCCGUGCCAGCAGCCGCGGUAAUACGGAGGGGGCGAGCGUUGUUCGGAGUGACUGGGCGUAAAGAGCACGUAGGCGGUGUUGUAAGUCAUUAGUCAAAGACUAGAGCUCAACUUUAGUAAGGCUAGUGAUACUAUAAUACUAGAGUAUCAGAGAGGAUUGCAGAAUUCCUGGUGUAGCGGUGAAAUGCGUAGAUAUCAGGAGGAAUACCGUUAGCGAAGGCGGCAAUCUGGCU